rnacentral:rRNA from 1 species
GUAGGGGGCAAGCGUUGUCCGGAAUCAUUGGGCGUAAAGCGCGCGUAGGCGGCCCGGUAAGUCUGCUGUGAAAGUCAAAGGCUCAACCUUUGAAAGCCGGUGGAUACUGUCGGGCUAGAGUCCGGAAGAGGCGAGUGGAAUUCCUGGUGUAGCGGUGGAAUGCGCAGAUAUCAGGAGGAACACCGAUAGCGAAGGCAGCUCGCUGGGACGGUACUGACGCUGAGGCGCGAAAGCGUGGGGAGCGAACAGGAUUAGAUACCCUGGUAGUCCACGCCGUAAACGAUGGGCACUAGGUGUGGGAGGUGUCGACUCCUCCCGUGCCGUCGCUAACGCACUAAGUGCCCCGCCUGGGGAGUACGGCCGCAAGGCUAAA